rnacentral:tRNA from 1 species
GCCUCGGUAGCUCAGACCGGUCAGAGCGCUGAACUAUCGCUCAGUUGCCUUGUAAGCAAGAUGUCGAGGGUUCAAAUCCCUCCCGAGGCU